UGGGGAAUUUUGGUCAAGGGGCGAAAGCCUGAUCCAGCAAUGCCGCGUGUGUGAAGAAGGCCUUCGGGUUGUAAAGCACUUUUGUCCGGAAAGAAAUGGCUCUGGUUAAUACCUGGGGUCGAUGACGGUACCGGAAGAAUAAGGACCGGCUAACUACGUGCCAGCAGCCGCGGUAAUACGUAGGGUCCAAGCGUUAAUCGGAAUUACUGGGCGUAAAGCGUGCGCAGGCGGUUGUGCAAGACCGAUGUGAAAUCCCCGAGCUUAACUUGGGAAUUGCAAUGGUGACUGCACGGCUAGAGUGUGUCAGAGGGGGGUAGAAUUCCACGUGUAGCAGUGAAAUGCGUAGAGAUGUGGAGGAAUACCGAUGGCGAAGGCAGCCCCCUGGGAUAACACUGACGCUCAUGCAAGAAAGCGUGGGGAACAAACAGG
rnacentral:rRNA from 1 species